CCCCCGGGCCGGGGCCGUGAGGGGCGCGCGGCCCGGGACGUUUAAAGGGCAAAUUAAAGUUAUCUGGGGCUACCGGGGAACGCGGCGUCGGAGCAUGUGCCCGCUGUAUUAAUAGCACAGGAGGGGACACGGGCAGCUGGCAGGAGCGCUCCAGGCCGAGUUAACCGUUCCGUGCAGGCAGAAGGCAGUGGCUGGGGGCCGAGGUCUCUUCUCAUGAAUCACAGCUCUGAGAAGUAGAUAACAGCUAUAACUUCCUUUGUACCUUGGCCAUCCUGAGAAGAUGAAGCCUGUCCCAGCUUCUAAGAAAGGAGAAGAGAGCCCCCCUGAAGUGACGUUUCCCCAAGCAAGGACCGAAAGCAGGUGCAAGGAUAGGGGAUCCCUAGAAUUAGACUGAAAGUAAAUAUCCCUUUAACAUCCCUUAACCACUGCUGGUUUCACACCCACAUGGACCCAUGGGAUAGUGAUGCUCGCAGCUGCUGCCUGACUAUCCAGACUGAUAGGGUCUCCUCCGUGUGUGCACUCAGGUGUCAGCCAGUGCCCCACUGACUGGUG